UACAGAGGUCCCAAGCGUUGUUCGGAUUCAUUGGGCGUAAAGGGUGCGUAGGCGGCGCGGUAAGUCGGGUGUGAAAUCUCGGGGCUUAAACUCCGAAACUGCAUUCGAUACUGCCGUGCUUGAGGACUGGAGAGGAGACUGGAAAUUCACGGUGGUAGCAGUGAAAUGCGUAGAUAAUCGUGAGGAAGACCAGUGGCGAAGGCGGGUCUCUGG
rnacentral:rRNA from 1 species